UCGAACGAGAAAGUGGGGGCAACCCUGCGAGUACAGUGGCAGACGGGUGAGUAACACGUGAACAACCUACCCUCGAGUGGGGAAUAACACCGCGAAAGCGGUGCUAAUACCGCAUAACAUCUUGAGUUCGCAUGAGCUUAAGAUCAAAAGCGCAAGUUGCUUGAGGAGGGGUUCGCGCCUGAUUAGCUAGUUGGUGAGGUAACGGCUCACCAAGGCAACGAUCAGUAGCCGGCCUGAGAGGGCGGACGGCCACACUGGAACUGAGACACGGUCCAGACUCCUACGGGAGGCAGCAGUAGGGAAUUUUGCGCAAUGGGCGAAAGCCUGACGCAGCAACGCCGCGUGGAGGAUGAAGGCCUUCGGGUCGUAAACUCCUGUCGAUGGGGACGAAAGCCUCGCAAGAGGUUUGACUGUACCCGUUGAGGAAGUCACGGCUAACUCCGUGCCAGCAGCCGCGGUAAUACGGAGGUGGCAAGCGUUGUUCGGAAUUACUGGGCGUAAAGGGCGCGUAGGCGGCCUGACAAGUCAGAUGUGAAAGCCCCGGGCUUAACUCGGGAAUUGCAUCUGAAACUGUUUGGCUUGAGUCCUGGAGGGGGUAGUGGAAUUCCCAGUGUAGCGGUGAAAUGCGUAGAUAUUGGGAGGAACACCUGCGGCGAAGGCGGCUACCUGGACAGUGACUGACGCUGAGGCGCGAAAGCUAGGGGAGCGAACGGGAUUAGAUACCCCGGUAGUCCUAGCUGUAAACGAUGGGCACUUGGUGUUGGGGGUAUUGAGUC
rnacentral:rRNA from 1 species